UUUGCCCUCAGAGGCAUUGUAGGUGUCACUGCUGUGUCACAUGGGUGUCAGUAGGUGGCAGAGAGAAGAGCAGCUGAGUCUACACUCCGUGUUCUGACCUAUGAACAUCUAAAUGAUUAACAACCUAACCUU